rnacentral:rRNA from 1 species
AUACGGAGGGUGCAAGCGUUGUCCGGAUUUAUUGGGUUUAAAGGGUGCGUAGGCGGCCCGUUAAGUCAGUGGUGAAAGGUAUCAGCUCAACUGAUGAAGUGCCAUUGAAACUAACGGGCUUGAGUACAGACGAGGUAGGCGGAAUUUAUGGUGUAGCGGUGAAAUGCAUAGAUACCAUAAAGAACACCGAUGGCGAAGGCAGCUUACUAGACUGUCACUGACGCUGAGGCACGAAAGCGUGGGGAGCAAGCAGGAUUAGAAACCCGGGUAGUCC